ensembl:lncRNA
GCACACACAUACGCACACACACACACACACACACACACGCGUGUGCACACACACAAACACACACGCAUUAACAUGUCAGUUAUAAUGCAAAACUGGGUCCCGGCUCACGAGAGGAAAGCCUGUAGGCCCGCCCUCCCCCGGGGAAGAGCGAGCAUCAGCCGGCCCUCCUGGCUGUGUUGAUAGUGAAACAUCCUUCCUCUCGUUCACUCAGAGACCGCACGCACACGCACACUCACUCAGACCAACACACGUGGACUCCGGUCCAGGGAACCACCAACUUCUUCCAUCGGUGUGCUGUCCCCUUGUGUGGAGUGGAAGCCGGGCUCUGACUGCAGCAGAGGGGAUGGAUGCUUAGGACCGGGCAGCAGAAAAAGGAGGGUGAGGGUGGUAUCAGUCCUUUCCUGGCGAGGCCAUCGUGGAGCCAAGUGUGAUUACCUGAUUACCAGUCAGUCUGGAGGAAGGGCAACUACAGAGUUAUUUGUCAAGACCAACGGCUGUGCUAUAAUUCUGUUGCACAAAGCCAGGCAGCGAGCCAACGGCUUCCUCUCACUGUUUGCUUAACGUAUGAAAACCGUGGCAGCUGGUCUCCGAGGUCAUGAAGCGUGUUCUCUGCUCCCGUGGGUAUAACCUGACCUCCACCCCCAAGACCACCACCCCCACCUCCCCACCACCCCACCACCCCCAGUACUCCCACAACGCCGCCGGCCCCCACCCCAUGCCUCCACCUAUGCCGGCAGCGCCAUGGGUAGCGUCAGCAGC